rnacentral:rRNA from 1 species
GACGAACGCUGGCGGCGUGCUUAACACAUGCAGGUCGAACGAAGUGGCGAACGGGUGAGUAACGCGUAAUCAACCUGCCCUUCAGAGGGGGACAACAGUUGGAAACGACUGCUAAUAUCGCAUACUGAAGGAGGGGAUUGCGUCUGAGUAGCUAGUUGGAGGGGUACCGGCUCACCAAGGCGAUGAGCAGUAGCCGGUGUGAGAGGAUGAACUGCCACAUUGGUACUGAGACACGGCCCAGACUCCUACGGGAGGCAGCAGUGGGGAAGCUUCCGCAAUGGACGAAAGUCUGACGGAGCAACGCCGCGUGAGUGAUGACGGCCUUCGGGUUGUAAAGCUCUGUUAAGCGGGACGCGGUACCGGAAUAGAAAGCCACGGCUAACUACGUGCCAGCAGCCGCGGUAAUUC